rnacentral:rRNA from 1 species
UACGGAGGGUGCAAGCGUUAAUCGGAAUUACUGGGCGUAAAGCGCACGCAGGUGGCUGAGUCAGUCGAUUGUGAAAGCCCUGGGCUUAACCUGGGAAUUGCAGUCGAUACUACUCAGCUAGAGUAUGGGAGAGGGUAGUGGAAUUCCCGGUGUAGCGGUGAAAUGCGUAGAUAUCGGAAGGAACACCGGUGGCGAAAGCGGCGCGCUGGAUCCCUACUGACGCUGAGGCACGAAAGCCAGGGGAGCAAACGGG